rnacentral:rRNA from 1 species
GAUGAACGCUGGCGGCGUGCCUAAUACAUGCAAGUCGAGCGAACAGACGAGGAGCUUGCUCCUCUGACGUUAGCGGCGGACGGGUGAGUAACACGUGGAUAACCUACCUAUAAGACUGGGAUAACUUCGGGAAACCGGAGCUACUACCGGCUAAUAUAUUGAACCGCAUGGUUCAAUAGUGCAAGACGGCUUUGCUGUCACUAUUAGAUGGAUCCGCGCCGCAUUAGCUAGUUGGUAAGGUAACGGCUUACCAAGGCAACGAUGCGUAGCCGACCUGAGAGGGUGAUCGGCCACACUGGAACUGAGACACGGUCCAGACUCCUACGGGAGGCAGCAGUAGGGAAUCUUCCGCAAUGGGCGAAAGCCUGACGGAGCAACGCCGCGUGAGUGAUGAAGGUCUUCGGAUCGUAAAGCUCUGUUAUUAGGGAAGAACAAAUGUGUAAGUAACUAUGCACGUCUUGACGGUACCUAAUCAGAAAGCCACGGCUAACUACGUG